AUGGAAGUUAGAGUCAGACAGAGAGUUGGAGAAAAGACCAAGACUGAAGACUCGGAGCUGAAGACUUCGUCAGCAUCCAAGGGGGAGUCUGUUGAUGCAUGAAAUGUCUGUUGACUACGUCUGCAUUACGUCUUAGGUCAAGAUAGGUCAACAUAGGAGCUAGAAUGUCAAAAUUAGGUUUUAUGUUGAUAGUUUCGCUUUUAUGUUCAUACUUAGUUGAGGUUCCGCUUAUUAGUUAAUAUAGGGUUUCGCUUAUAAGGUUAGUGGAGGUUUCGCUCAUUUGUCAGUCCAUAAGAACGAAACCAUAUGGGCUAUAAAUAGGCCUCAUAAGCGAAACCUGGUCAUUCACUGGUGUACAUUGGAGCGAAACUCUGUCAUUGUUGCUGUAACAAAACGCUGUCAAAUUUACUUCAGAAAGCAAUAAAAGAGAAGAAAUU
rnacentral:lncRNA from 1 species